UACGUAGGUGACAAGCGUUGUCCGGAUUUACUGGGCGUAAAGAGCGCGCAGGCGGUCGUUCAAGUCGAGUGUGAAAGCCCCCGGCUCAACUGGGGAGGGUCAUUCGAUACUGAUCGACUCGAAGGCAGGAGAGGGAAGUGGAAUUCCCGGUGUAGUGGUGAAAUUCGUAGAUAUUCGGAAGAACACCAGUGGCGAAGGCGACUUACUGGACACAUAUUGACGCUGAGGUGCGAAAGCGUGGGGAGCAAACAGG
rnacentral:rRNA from 1 species